CCGCCCGUCACAUCACGAAAGUGGAUUGUACUAGAAGUCUGCACGCCAACCCGCAAGGGGGCAGCGGCCCAAGGUAUGAUUCAUGAUUGGGGUG
rnacentral:rRNA from 1 species